rnacentral:rRNA from 1 species
AUGUGGGAGGAAUGCUUGCCUCAUAUUGAAUUUGCUUAUAAUCGUUCAUUGCAUUCUACUACUAAGAUGUGCCCUUUUGAAGUUGUGUAUGGUUUCCUACCUCGUGCACCUAUUGAUUUGUUGCCUCUUCCAUCUUCGGAGAAGGUUAAUUUUGAUGCUAAACAACGUGCUGAAUUGAUUUUAAAAAUGCAUGAGUUAACUAAGGAAAACAUUGAGCGCAUGAAUGCUAAAUAUAAAUUUGCUGGAGAUAAGGGUAGAAAACAUGUUGUGUUUGCACCUGGAGAUCUUGUUUGGUUACAUUUGCGUAAGGAUAGAUUUCCUGAUUUGCGCAAAUCAAAGUUAAUGCCACGUGCUGAUGGUCCCUUUAAGGUGUUAGAGAAAAUAAAUGAUAAUGCAUAUAAACUUGAGCUGCCUGCAGAUUUUGGGGUUAGUCCCACUUUUAACAUUGCAGACUUGAAGCCUUAUUUGGGUGAGGAAGAUGAACUUCCGUCGAGGACGACUUCAUUUCAAGAAGGGGAGGAUGAUGAGGACAUCAAUACAAUUGUUACACCCACAGCCCCUGCUGCUAUACAUACUGGACCAAUUACUAGAGCUCGUGCACGCCAACUAAAUUACCAGGAAACAGACCCUCGUGGUCAGGUUGAUCGUGCUCCAGCGUGGUCAAUAACCUCUCGGAGUUGGUUUAGCGAUUGCUAA